rnacentral:SRP_RNA from 1 species
GCCAGGUGCAGUGGUGUACACCUGUAGUCCCAACUACUCGGGAGGCUGAGGCAGGAGGACUGCUUGAGUCCAGGAGUUCUGGGCUGUAGUGCGCUAUGCCAAUUGGGUGUCCACACUAAGUUCAGCAUCGAUAUGGUGACCUCCUGGGAGCAGGGGAACACAAGAUUGCCUAAGGAGGGGUGAACUGGCCCAGGUCAGAAACUGACAAGGUCAAAACUCCCUUGCUGAUCAGUAGUGCGAUUGAUCCUGAGAACAGCCACUGCACUUCAGCCUGGGCAACAUAGCAAGACCCUGUGCCA